CUAACACAUGCAAGUCGAACGAGAAAGGGUAGCAAUACCUGAGUAAAGUGGCGCACGGGUUGAGUAACACGUGACUACCUACCCUGGAGUGGGGAAUAACUGAGGGAAACCUUANCUGAUACCGGGUGAAUACCUACGGGUCAAAGGAGCAAUUCGCUUCAGGAGGGGGUCGCGGCCGAUUAGCUAGUUGGCGGGGUAAUGGCCCACCAAGGCAAUGAUCGGUAUCCGGCCUGAGAGGGCGCACGGACACACUGGAACUGAAACACGGUCCAGACUCCUACGGGAGGCAGCAGUGGGGAAUUUUGCGCAAUGGGGGAAACCCUGACGCAGCAACGCCGCGUGGAGGAUGAAAUCCCUUGGGAUGUAAACUCCUUUCGAUCGGGACGAUUAUGACGGUACCGGAAGAAGAAGCCCCGGCUAACUUCGUGCCAGCAGCCGCGGUAAUACGAGGGGGGCAAGCGUUGUUCGGAA
rnacentral:rRNA from 1 species